UUGGAUGAAGAUGAUUAAGGUGAAGCUGCUUCAUUGCUUCUCUUUGAUUUUUUUCCCCUCUGACCCGACAAAUAUUAUUUAGUUUAUGUCUGGGUUUUAGAUUUGUAAAUCUGAGAACAGUUUGCAAAAUUUUCCUCACCGAGGUGUGGGUUGUAAAUCAACUACCGAUGUACCCUGUGAGAGAACUAAUGUCAAGAAUUUUGGGGCUGCCUAUCGGCUCUCCUUUUUUUUUC